CUGCGUACGUAGAACCUCAAAAAGUGAGUUUUGGCUGCGUCGCGUGCGAGAUUUUUGCUCGUUCGCAUACGCAGGUGUAAAAAAAAAAAAGAGAAAAGUAUAAUUUGAAUUAAAAGUGUGGGGAAGGUUCGAGCCCGAACCCCUAACCGUCCCACUCAAUGUCUCUCUUCUUCUUCCUCCUCUCUUCGUCUUCUUCAAAUCCCUCCAUUCAUUGCGCCACCGUCGACCACCAUUACCGCCGGCUCUUCUCCCUUUCUAUCUUUCUCUUUUCUUCUCCCUUUCUCUAUUUCUCUUCCCUUCUCCCUCUUCUCUCAACCUUCACUGUUGCAAUCCCUUCUCUCGGUGACACUUCCGUCAGCGACUCCACCGCCACCAUUCCCAGACCACCAUUGUUGGCCGCAGCUCUCCGUUCCCAAUCCGCAGCGCCCAACCCUCUUCCUUCAUUUCAUUUUCCAUUCGAUUACCCUUGCUCUAUUUCAGGAUGAGAACCGGCAAAGGAGUUCGAGCGAGGGAUCCGGCAAAAUAUGCAAAUAAGUAUUGUGAAACACAAUUCCGCUUAUUCAACCAGCAAAAGAAACUGCACUUUGAAACGAUCCUCAAGCUAGACAAGCUUCCACCCGACCUCCGUCGAAUGGUUAAUGAAAACAUAAGAGUCGGGGGUGGGAUUUCUUGGAGAGGAACUUGGUGGAUAUUAAUGAAAACUAGGUCGUGGAGUUCUAUGCUAAUUUCUACUCCGCAACCCUGAAACUGUGCUCUUGGGGAGAAAGCGAAUUCCGGUCACUAAGAGUACAAUAGCUGAGAUACUCCGGAUUCUCCCGAAGCUGAAACAGGUGUGGCUAUGACAAGGCAAUUCAGAACAAAGCGAUAAACCUCUUGGAUUGGGGCAAGAUCUUGAAGAUAGCAAUUCCGGACAGUGAAUGGAUCUUGAGCAAUGAUCAAAAGGAGCCCAUUAGUAUCCUGCUCAAGCAACUGACCCGUGAGGCUCGAAUUUGACAACAAAUCCUAAUCAACCUUGUCAUGCCAAGCUCUCACAAGACCACCAUAUCUGCUGAUUUGGCGAUCUUGGUGUGGACUAUUUUGGAGGGAGAACCUAUCUUCCUCCCGAAGAUUAUUAGACAGUCCAUGUGGUAGGGGUGUACAUGGUUCAAUUUUUUCUAUAAAUUGAACUGAAAUUACACUAAACCAUUUAAAAUGGUUUAGAAACUGAACCAAACUGUUUUGUCACAUAAGAAACUGGUUUUAAACUAGUUUAUAAUAGUGCACCAGUUUAAACCAGUUCAUAAAAAUAAAACUGGUUUUUAAAAAAAUCAGUUUAAACUGAUUUAUAGGUUAAAA